rnacentral:sRNA from 1 species
ACGUCUCGGUUCGAUCGGGAUACUCAUCAAAUAAAUUAUGAAACUGAGAUGACAUCUCUUGCCUAUGGCGGGCCAUAUAAAUCGCAUCUUGCGACUAAGCCGUAAGGCCGGUGGAUUACAAAAGCGGAGAGCUCUCUAAACUUGUAACACAGGAGUUUCAUCACAUCACCGGACGGCCCUUUU